rnacentral:rRNA from 1 species
AGCGAACGCUGGCGGCAGGCCUAACACAUGCAAGUCGAACGAACCUUUCGGGGUUAGUGGCGGACGGGUGAGUAGCACGUGGGAACGUGCCUUUAGGUUCGGAAUAACUCAGUGAAACUUGUGCUAAUACCGAAUGUGCCCUUCGGGGGAAAGAUUAAUCGCCUUUAGAGCGGCCCGCGUCUGAUUAGCUAGUUGGUUGAGGUAAUGGCUCACCAAGGCGACGAUCAGUAGCUGGUCUGAGAGGAUGAUCAGCCACAUUGGGACUGAGACACGGCCCAAACUCCUACGGGAGGGAGCAGUGGGGAAUCUUGCGCAAUGGGCGAAAGCCUGACGCAGCCAUGCCGCGUGAAUGAUGAAGGUCUUAGGAAUGUAAAAUUCUUUCACCGGGGACGAUAAUGACGGUACCCGGAGAAGAAGCCCCGGCUAACUUCGUG